GAUGAACGCUAGCGGCAGGCUUAAUACAUGCAAGUCGAGGGGCAGCGCAGUGUAGCAAUACAUGGGCGGCGACCGGCAAACGGGUGCGGAACACGUACGCGACCUUCCUUUAAGUGGGGGAUAGCCCAGGGAAACUUGGAUUAAUACCCCGUAAUAUUAUGAAGUGGCAUCACUUUAUACUUAUAGCUCCGGCGCUUAAAGAUGGGCGUGCGACUAGUUAGGUAGUUGGCGGGGUAACGGCCCACCAAGCCUGCGAUCAGUAACUGGGGUGAGGGCACGACCAGGAACACGGGCACUGAGACACAGGCCCGACUCCUACUGGAGGCAGCAGUAAGGAAUAUUGGUCAAUGGACGCAAGUCUGAACCAGCCAUGACGCGUGGAGGAUGAAGGUCCUCUUGAUUGUAAACUUCUUUUAUUUGGGAAGAAACCCACUGUUUCUACGGUGGUUGACGGUACCAGAUGAAUAAGCACCGGCUAACUCCGUGCCAGCCGCCGCAGUAA
rnacentral:rRNA from 1 species